rfam:Nitrospirae bacterium HCH-1 contig094, whole genome shotgun sequence.
UCCGUUGUGAGGCGGAAUUUGAUGUUGCUGGAGGCAAAUCUCAGGUCUGAGGAACACUAACUGCAUACAAUACUUAUGAUAAGUCGGGCGAGUUUGCCAAAAAUAAGUUGCGCUUAUUUCCUAUGUUCUUCCUGCGUUGUUGUUACUUCACAUCACUAAGUUCAAAUAUUUGAAGAAAGAAAAAAGCCAGGAGAUUUAUUUCGAGUGACAAAAAUCAGU